AUGGAUCUCACUGAACUUCUGCCGGAGGAGGGGAGGCUGACGGGGAGCUCCUUCCAUUCCCUCAGCCAAGACCCAACCACAGCCGGCAGGUGCCCCGCUGCACACACGGGGCAUGGACCCACCCCGCUCUCGGGAUGCUCUUUGCCCUUACGAAUGCGGCUUCCCCACUCCCUGCCUGGUGACGGCCGCUCACCUCUCUUCGUUGGAGAAGACAAAUUUCCUGAGCUUGAGGUCUCCGAGCACGAUGGCCGACUGGUGGCAGUGAGCGACGGCCGCCACAAUCUGCCGGAACAGCCGGGCGGCCUCCUCCUCCCUCAGCCUCUUACAGCUCCGCACGUAGGAGUGCAUGUCCCCAAAGUCCUUCUCGAAGAAGACGUAGGCCUUGGUGUCUCCGAGGAUCACUUCCACCACGCCGGUGAUGUUGCGGUGCGAGGGCAGCUGGACGUAGGGCCGGAUCUUGUCCUGGUAGUGUUUGAGAGGGAACACCUGUGCGGAGGAAAUGAGCACAACGUUCGUUCUCAAGGGCGUUGGAAGCGGAAUCGCGUCUGGCGACUCUUUCCAAACAAUGCCGGGGAUGGAGGAGCGCCAGGGAUCCGUGCUCCACGCGGAGCUGCACCGAGACACCGAGACCCUCCCCACGGCUCCACCGCUCGUUCCGUACGGGCGACGGAGAGCGAAAGCCAAACCGACGGGAGCCUCAAACCGCCCCGAAGCCUUUCGCUGCCUCUCGGAGCCUCCCCGAGCCCCCACCGCCCGCCGACCCGCCCCGGGACGCCCCGCGCUCACCUUGCAGCGGAGCUCCCGGCCGGAGCUGACGCUCAGCGCUCGGGACACCUGCUCGCGCUCGGCCAGCGGCAGCAGCAGGCAAAGCACGCACAGACCCAUCAGGCUUUCUGCUUGGCGUUUCCCCUCCUGGAAGGCUGCAUGCCGUCCGUGGCUUCUGUCCAGGUGUCCCGAGAUGGGGGCCCGGGUGCUGCACCCCGCUGUCCCUUUCUUCCAGUGAUGCACUGGCACCGGCUGCCCAGGGAGGUGGGGAGUCCCCAUCCCUGCAGGUGCUGA
rnacentral:lncRNA from 1 species